GCUUGGGCUCUUUGCUGACGAGUGGCGGACGGGUGAGUAAUGUCUGGGAAACUGCCUGAUGGAGGGGGAUAACUACUGGAAACGGUAGCUAAUACCGCAUAACGUCGCAAGACCAAAGAGGGGGACCUUCGGGCCUCUUGCCAUCGGAUGUGCCCAGAUGGGAUUAGCUUGUUGGUGGGGUAACGGCUCACCAAGGCGACGAUCCCUAGCUGGUCUGAGAGGAUGACCAGCCACACUGGAACUGAGACACGGUCCAGACUCCUACGGGAGGCAGCAGUGGGGAAUAUUGCACAAUGGGCGCAAGCCUGAUGCAGCCAUGCCGCGUGUAUGAAGAAGGCCUUCGGGUUGUAAAGUACUUU
rnacentral:rRNA from 1 species